GACGUAGGGCGCGAGCGUUGUCCGGAUUUAUUGGGCGUAAAGAGCGUGUAGGCGGCCAAGCAGGUCCGCUGUGAAAACUUGAGGCUCAACCUCGAGACGUCGGUGGAAACCGUUUGGCUAGAGUCCGGAAGAGGAGAGUGGAAUUCCCGGUGUAGCGGUGAAAUGCGCAGAUAUCGGGAAGAACACCCGUGGCGAAGGCGGCUCUCUGGGACGGUACUGACGCUGAGACGCGAAAGCGUGGGGAGCGAACAGG
rnacentral:rRNA from 1 species